rnacentral:rRNA from 1 species
ACACAUGCAAGUCGAACGAAGCACUUGAUUUGGAUUCUUCGGAUGAAGAUCUUGGUGACUGAGUGGCGGACGGGUGAGUAACGCGUGGGUAACCUGCCUCAUACAGGGGGAUAACAGUUAGAAAUGACUGCUAAUACCGCAUAAGACCACAGCACCGCAUGGUGCAGGGGUAAAAACUCCGGUGGUAUGAGAUGGACCCGCGUCUGAUUAGGUAGUUGGUGGGGUAACGGCCUACCAAGCCGACGAUCAGUAGCCGACCUGAGAGGGUGACCGGCCACAUUGGGACUGAGACACGGCCCAAACUCCUACGGGAGGCAGCAGUGGGGAAUAUUGCACAAUGGGGGAAACCCUGAUGCAGCGACGCCGCGUGAGCGAUGAAGUAUUUCGGUAUGUAAAGCUCUAUCAGCAGGGAAGAAAAUGACGGUACCUGACUAAGAAGCACCGGCUAAAUACGUGCCAGCAGCCGCGGUAAUACGUAUGGUGCAAGCGUUAUCCGGAUUUACUGGGUGUAAAGGGAGCGUAGACGGAGUGGCAAGUCUGAUGUGAAAACCCGGGGCUCAACCCCGGGACUGCAUUGGAAACUGUCAAUCUAGAGUACCGGAGAGGUAAGCGGAAUUCCUAGUGUAGCGGUGAAAUGCGUAGAUAUUAGGAGGAACACCAGUGGCGAAGGCGGCUUACUGGACGGUAACUGAC